rnacentral:sRNA from 1 species
AAUAGACACAUAACAUCAUCUAACUAUUCGUCUAAUUGAUCCGUCUAGCUAGUUAACGAUAUUUCUCAAUUUAGUCAUCAACAAAAAUUCGUGAUUAAAUUA